rnacentral:hammerhead_ribozyme from 1 species
GACGAGUCCCAAACAGGACGAAACGCGCAUCCUGGAU